rnacentral:miRNA from 1 species
AAAAAGUUCGUUCGGGUUUUCU